rnacentral:misc_RNA from 1 species
GAUGAAGAACGUAGCGAAAUGCGAUACUUGGUGUGAAUUGCAGAAUCCCGUGAACCAUCGAGUCUUUGAACGCAAGUUGCGCCCGAAGCCAUUAGGCCGAGGGCACGCCUGCCUGGGCGUCACACGUCGUUGCCCCCCCAUCUACUCCUUCGGGAUUGCGGGGGGCGGAUGAUGGCCUCCCGUGCGCCUCGCCGCGCGGUUGGCAUAAAUGCCAAGUCCUCGGCGACGCACGCCACGACAAUCGGUGGUUGCGAAACCUCGGUUGCCCGUCGUGUGCGGUCAUCGCGCAUCGAGGGCUCGAAAAAAUUGCCGGGUUCCGGCUCGGCUUUCAACGCGACCCCAGGUCAGGCGGGGUUACCCGCUGAAUUUAAGCAUAUCAAUAAGCGGAGGA